AGUCUACUCCCUCCGUUCGGAAUUACUUGUCGCAGAAAUGGAUGUAUCUAGACGUAUUUUAGUUCUAGAUAUAUCCAUUUUCGAGACAAGUAAUUCCGAACUAAGGGGUAGUAUAGU
rfam:Triticum aestivum genome assembly, contig: Triticum_aestivum_CS42_TGACv1_scaffold_249515_3DL